GCCUUCGUGGUGUAAUGGUCAGCACACUGAGCCGGUAUUUCAGAGCCCCGUGGUUCGAUCCCCGGCGAAGGCA
rnacentral:tRNA from 1 species